UACGUAGGGGGCAAGCGUUGUCCGGAUUUAUUGGGCGUAAAGCGCGUGUAGGCGGCCAGGUAGGUCCGCUGUGAAAACCCGAGGCUCAACCUCGGGACGUCGGCGGAAACCAUCUGGCUAGAGUCCGGAAGAGGAGAGUGGAAUUCCCGGUGUAGCGGUGAAAUGCGCAGAUAUCAGGAAGAACACCAAUGGCGAAGGCAGCUCUCUGGGACGGUACUGACGCUGAGACGCGAAAGCGUGGGGAGCGAACAGG
rnacentral:rRNA from 1 species